rnacentral:rRNA from 1 species
AGAAUCAACGCUGGCGGCGUGCCUCAGACAUGCAGGUCGAACGAUUAAAGCUCUCUUCGGAGAGUGUAUAGAGUGGCGCACGGGUGAGUAACACGUAAGUAAUCUACCUUCGAGUGGGGAAUAACGUCCGGAAACGGACGCUAAUACCGCACAAUGCAGCGGCAUCGCAAGAUGACAGUUGUUAAAGGAAUUUAUUUCGCUUGAAGAGGAGCUUGCGGCAGAUUAGCUUGUUGGUAAGGUAACGGCUUACCAAGGCUACGAUCUGUAUCCGGUCUAAGAGGACGGUCGGACACACUGACACUGAAUAACGGGUCAGACUCCUACGGGAGCAGCAGUCGGGAAUUUGGCAAU